UCAACUAGAAAGGUUAGCGGAUGCAUCCGUAAUGAUGACCUUUGGUAGCGUUCCACUGUAUCCUGUCAAAUUCUUCACCGCGAAAAACCAACGAACAACUCACGAGCCACCGACUCUCCAAAGAAUCUAGGAACCAGAUCGGAUCUUAAGCUCUCGAGCUCCAUUUCAACAUUGUUCAACUGUUAACAAGAUUUCGCACGCUUCAAGAACGAGAUAUCUAUACAACGUUCUUUUCGAUGUCAGGAUCGGGUUGGGUAAGCUAACGAGAACAUUGAAGGUUUUUGGAGCUGUUUUCUUUUUCUUCUUACUACGGAUUUGGCUCUAUUUCUGAAGUUGAACCGUUUUGGCUUCUGAUUUGUUGAAUUGGGGGUGCAGGAUUCUGUCUUUUUGAGGAUUUUGGUCAUGGUGCAUUGCUAAUAUUUCCUAUCUUCUGGUAAAGCAAAGAAACAACAAAAUUUGGGAGAUUUCAGUUUUAUUUUGACACAGUUGGUUGAACUUCUGUGUGACUUGAGGGGACUGCCGUGGUUGCUGGCCUUUGGAUAGGCCAGGGGGGGUUGAGUAAAGAUGGUUCUAACUUAGAAAAAGGAAGGAGAUGGUGGAAACCACCUUAUUAACAGAAAAGAGUGAAAACACUGGAGUUAGUGACAUUCAAAGUGGAAGCCAUGGACCGGUCCUCCGCAGAGAGCCUUCUUUCUCACGCUGGUGCGACGAAGAUGGGAUUGUCCUUGCAGAUUAUCAAUCAAAAAAUGCUGAUGUAAGCUUAGAAGAAUCUGAUUUUGAGUUGCCAUUGCUUCAAGAAGAUGGGUUACAAAAUGGAUCUUUAGAUGUUGAUACACAAAAGUUUAGUAGCUUUCAGCAGAGAAGAAUGCACUUGGAUGGGGGUAAUGUCAUGGGUACUGUACCCAUUCAUGUUGAGGGAGAUGAACAUGGAGCAAAAUACGUAUCUUUUGAUAUUGAGAAUAGGUCUGAAAGCCAAGCACACCUGUUGGAUAUUAAUGUUGAUAGAUCCUCUUCAGAAGGACGACGUGAAACUGAACUGAAUACUCAGAGCUCUUUUUCUGUGGCUAUUGUUCUUAAGACACUGUUUUUCAUAUUGGUUUGGUAUACUUUCAGCACAUGCUUGACAUUGUAUAACAAAACACUAUUAGGAGAUCAUUUAGGAAAGUUCCCUGCUCCCUUGUUAAUGAACACGAUUCACUUCGCGAUGCAAGCUGUCUUCUCAAGGGCCAUUACAUGUUUUUGGGCUCAAAGGUUUCAACCCAGUGUAAAAAUGUCAUGGAGGGAUUACUUUACCAGAGUUGUACCUACGGCUCUUGGAACUGCAUUGGAUGUAAACUUGAGCAAUGCUUCCCUUGUUUUCAUCUCUGUCACAUUUGCUACUAUGUGUAAAUCUGCGUCUCCAAUAUUUCUCCUUUUAUUUGCUUUUGCAUUCAGGUUGGAGACCCCGAGCAUUAAACUUCUAGGUAUCAUAUUAAUCAUCUCUGUUGGAAUUUUAUUAACAGUUGCAAAAGAGACAGAAUUUGAGAUUUGGGGUUUUAUUUUCGUUAUGCUGGCUGCUGUUAUGUCUGGGUUUCGCUGGUCCAUGACACAGAUUCUUUUGCAGAAAGAAGACUAUGGUUUAAAGGAUCCCAUUACUUUGAUGAGCUAUCUGACUCCAGUAAUGGCUGUGGUAACUGCUUUGCUCUCUCUAAUAAUGGACCCAUGGCAAGAAUUCAGAAGGAACAAUUACUUUAAUAGUUCGUGGCAUGUUCUACAGAGUAGCUUGCUAAUGCUUCUUGGUGGAACCCUGGCUUUUUUCAUGGUUUUAACAGAAUAUGUUCUUGUGUCAGCAACAAGUGCAGUAACUGUAACAAUAGCAGGAGUUGUCAAGGAAGCUGUUACUAUUCUGGUGGCAGUGUUUUACUUCCAUGAUCAAUUUACCUGGUUGAAAGGGAUUGGACUGCUUAUAAUCAUGGUUGGUGUCAGUUUAUUCAACUGGUACAAAUACAAAAAGCUACACAAGAGCCACACCAGUGAAAAUGAUGAAGCAAAGUUGCUCACUCCCAACGCAGCUGCAAAGUAUGUUAUCCUUGAGGAGAUGGAUGAACAAGAUAAUGAAACUGAGUAACUAUUUUCAUUAUCUUGAUCAAAUUCUGAAAUUUAGUUUCAGAUUGUGCAAAGGAAAUGGGAAUGGAGCCAUUUAGACAAAAAAGACCCAUCAAGAUGUUUGCAAAUCUGCCUGUUCUUUACCAUCACUGUGUUACAAGGAUUGUUAAUGGGGUAACGUGGCAAAAUGUCCUGUGGGCCGAUACCAUUUCAGUUCGACUUGGAAGUUCUUCACCCCAGAUAAGUAUAAGUAUGCUGGGAAGAAGUGCAGGGUCACUUAUAGAAUAUGGAUGCUAUGUUGUUACUAGGCCAACCUCCAAAUUGCAACUUCUGUAUAAGUUUUAAUCUUUAUCUGUGUCUCAAUGAAUGUCAAACUUGAAAGGUUAAACUAGUAAGAGGCAAGCAUAUUGGUCCACUUUGUCCAGACUUUCUUCCAGCAAAAAGCCCAUCUUGUAAGGAAAUCAAUUACAUGUGAAUUAGAUAUUUUCUUAUGAUUUACCAUAUUGGUUCGUUCAUUUUCUUCAUUUUUGUUAUUGCUAAGACAUUUGAGGAUGUUAUAUUCCAACCGUGAGACAUUCAGUAGAAAUCAAUUUGUCCAGCUAA